rnacentral:rRNA from 1 species
UACGUAGGGGGCAAGCGUUGUCCGGAAUCAUUGGGCGUAAAGAGCGUGUAGGCGGCUCGGUAAGUCCGUUCUGAAAGUCCAGGGCUCAACCCCGGGAUGCGGAUGGAUACUGCCGGGCUCGAGUCCGGAAGAGGCGAGUGGAAUUCCCGGUGUAGCGGUGAAAUGCGCAGAUAUCGGGAGGAACACCAAUGGCGAAGGCAGCUCGCUGGGACGUGACUGACGCUGAGACGCGAAAGCGUGGGGAGCAAACAGG